UAGGGAAUAUUGCACAAUGGAGGAAACUCUGAUGCAGCGACGCCGCGUGAGUGAUGAAGGCUUUCGGGUCGUAAAGCUCUGUCGCAGGGGAAUAACACAAUGAAUGUACCCUGUAAGAAAGGAUCGGCUAACUUCGUGCCAGCAGCCGCGGUAAGACGAGGGAUCCUAGCGUUGUUCGGAAUUAUUGGGCGUAAAGCGGAUGUAGGUGGCUUUGUAAGUCAGGUGUGAAAGCCUAGGGCUCAACCCUAGAAGUGCAUCUGAUACUGCGAAGCUUGAGUGUGGGAGAGGAUAGUAGAAUUCCUGGUGUAGUGGUGAAAUACGUAGAUAUCAGGAGGAAUACCGGAGGCGAAGGCGGCUAUCUGGCCCAACACUGACACUGAGAUCCGAAAGCGUGGGGAUCAAACA
rnacentral:rRNA from 1 species